UUUUUUUUUGAUGAAACCCUAGAUCGGUUACUUUGAGGGCGAAUGUUCGAUCGCCCCUUCUUCCUCUGCCAUAUACAUCUUUUUCAAUAUAUGUUAUCAUCCCUCAUUCUUCUCUGUUUCCAGUCGACUAUCCCUUCUUCGCACCAAAUUCGACCAAAAUUAAAGUUAAAAAAUGGUAAGGCAGCAACGAUGUAGGCCGUUAUAAGGUAUGCUUACCACUUGCGAUCCGGAACAUACAAAUGAAGAACUACAAACCUUCAGAAGAUGGAAGAUUCUUUUACAGUCGUAAUGACCAAGGAGCAUGAUGGCUAGCUUGUUUGUUUACGGCACAACCAUACAUGUUUUCUGGUGGACUUAGGGAAUCAUUCAUAGCGGGCCUUGAAUUUGAAAAAAAAAACACAUCUUAAAAUGAAAAAAGAAAUUGAAGAGCAUACUUUGAAAGAAGCUAUGCAUAAAGAUGGACAAGGAAUGAGCAAACUUGAAGCUACGAUGCGAAGAAUUAUGGAGGUUUUCGUUAUGUUUUAUCAUUGUAAUUGACAACUUUAUUUCACUUACACCGUAAUUGUGACUUUGGUCAUAUGUUGUAUUACACUAUAAGAUAUCUAUAAUAGUUAUGUUAUUAUUGU
rnacentral:lncRNA from 1 species